rnacentral:misc_RNA from 1 species
AAGUCGUAACAAGGUUUCCGUAGGUGAACCUGCGGAAGGAUCAUUAACAGUGCUUUUGUAUGCAAAUACAAUCUCACUAACCAACCAUGUGUGAACCGUUUUGACUGCCCAAAUGUGCGGGUACCCAGUAAUGCGGGUAUGGCUGCACAUUUUUAUUUUAACCUGUCUUUGUUGUACUGAAUAGUAAAGCUUAGUUGAAAAACUUGCAAAACUUUUAGCAAUGGAUCUCUAGGCUCUU